CCUGCCAGUAGUCAUAUGCUUGUCUCAAAGAUUAAGCCAUGCAUGUCUAAGUACGCACGGCCGGUACAGUGAAACUGCGAAUGGCUCAUUAAAUCAGUUAUAGUUUAUUUGAUGGUUUUUGCUACAUGGAUAACUGUGGUAAUUCUAGAGCUAAUACAUGCAUUCAAGCCCCGACUUCUGGAAGGGGUGUAUUUAUUAGAUAAAAAACCAACGCCCUUCGGGGCUCCUUGGUGAUUCAUAAUAACUAAACGAAUCGCAUGGCCUUGCGCCGGCGAUGGUUCAUUCAAAUUUCUGCCCUAUCAACUUUCGACGGCUGGGUCUUGGCCAGCCAUGGUGACAACGGGUAACGGAGGGUUAGGGCUCGACCCCGGAGAAGGAGCCUGAGAAACGGCUACUACAUCCAAGGAAGGCAGCAGGCG
rnacentral:rRNA from 1 species